AGGCGAGGCCAGGUACUCUCUCUGUCUCUCUCUCGAUCCCGCGGCUCUCGCUUCGUAUUUGGUUUCUUUACUCCUCUACCCCAACGAUACGGGAAGGGAGCCCGCCGCCAUCGAUCCCAGGUCUGCACCCUGGUGGCACCAUUCGCUCCUCUCCAAACCCUAAUGUCUGAAACCGAGCAACCUCCUGCGAUCUAUUUCCUUUCUCGCCUUUGUUUGCCUUCUCCCCAAAAUACCGACAUGCUUCUGUUUGGGUUCGUUGAAAUAGUUAAGAUGAUCAAAGUGGCAGCAUGGGCCGUAAGGCUGGGGGCUUGUACAUAAACCCAAAAAAGUUUGGUGCUGUUGGGAAGCCUUGCAUGAAGGAGAUGCUAGCAUUCCUUGGUUGCUUGUCUCUUAACAAGAACAAUGAUGAUAAGUGUGUGCGACAGAAGGAUCUCUUGCUUGCUUGCGUGGAGGCCCAGAAAGGAAAACCCAAAAAUCCUGCGAGGACCAUCAAUUACCACUUGCAGCGGCUUGGCAGAGACAAACAUUUUUAGUUACUUAAAAUGUGUUGGAAUAAAAGCACAAAAAAGAGACAGUUUUGAAGUAAUAUGUAAUUGGAAUUGAAGAAAGUUACUUUUCUAGGUAUUUGUUUCACCAAUUUUUAAUUAUAAUCAACUAUAGAAGGAUUUCUUUAUUCCAAUCAGGUUAAGUCCACAGAGAUUCUGACCUGCCAUAGCAUAUGGCUGCAAAAAAUCAGAGGCUGAGCUGUCUGAUAUGGUGGGAAAGAGAAUCUUGAAGUACAUGUCUUUCUCUUUGUAAAGGAACCAUAAACUUACUGAUCAGUAUGAACAUUUUGAGUAAGCGCACAUUUUAGAUCGGAAGAAUUCGGUGCAUAUGCCAUGUUAAGAUAUUACAGUAAUUUGCUGUGAGAUGGUUUGGCAUUUCGUGAUGCAUAUGCUGGAUGGAAGGCUGUGUCAUAGCUCAAGUCUAUACAAGUUUCAUGUGAUGGAAUAAGACAGAAAUGGAGAUGUCCAAAGGUGCUCGGCAUGAGUUUUUUGAUGUUUAAAGUUGCUGUUAGGUGCUUGUUGUUGCUUCAAUAUGCCUGGAGCUUUAUAUU